rnacentral:rRNA from 1 species
AUACGGAAGGUCCGGGCGUUAUCCGGAUUUAUUGGGUUUAAAGGGAGCGCAGGCGGAGAUGCAAGCGUGACGUCAAAUUUCGGGGCUCAACCCCGUCUCGCGUCGCGAACUGCGUCCCUUGGUUGCGGGAAGGGGAGGCGGAACUCGUGGUGUAGCGGGGAAAUGCAUAGAUAUCACGAAGAACUCCGAUCGCGAAGGCAGCCUUCCGGCCCGUCAACGACGCUCAUGCUCGAAGGUGCGGGUAUCAAACAGGAUUAGAUACCCUGGUAGUCCGCACAGUAAACGAUGGACACCCGCGGUUUGGCCUGUAUGGCUGAGCCGCCAAGCGAAAGCGUUAAGUGUCCCACCUGGGGAGUACGCCGGCAACGGUGAAACUCAAAGGAAUUGACGGG